GAUGAACGCUGGCGGCGUGCCUAAUACAUGCAAGUCGAGCGAAGCGGGGACGGGGGAGUAACACGUGGAUAACCUCCUAUAAGACUGGGAUAACUUCGGGGAACCGGAGCUAAACCCGAAUCUUAUAGCUGGAUCCGCUCUGCAUUAGCUAGUUGGUAAGGUAACGGCUUACCAAGGCGACGAUGCCUAGCCGACCUGAGAGGGUGAUCGGCCACACUGGAACUGAGACACGGUCCAGACUCCUACGGGAGGCAGCAGUAGGGAAUAUUGCGCAAUGGGCGAAAGCCUGACGGAGCAACGCCGCGUGAGUGAUGAAGGCCUUCGGAUCGUAAAACUCUGUUAUUAGGGAAGCGGUACCUAAUCAGAAAGCAACGGCUAACUACGUGCCAGCAGCCGCGGUAAUUC
rnacentral:rRNA from 1 species